rnacentral:lncRNA from 1 species
GGUUUGCCUUACGUUAAAUACUAAGGAUGGAAUUCAUAAGUAAAUUAAUUUUAAAUCACUGUUAGCCAGUGUUAUAUGAUAUUUUGAUUAAAUAUACAAAACUCUGAUUCCAUUAAAAUAAUAAAACGUCUAAAGCAUGCUUAUUACAUUAAGUAGUUUUUAUACUUUUUACAUUUAACCAACCAAUAAAAUAUAAAUGAUACCAAUACCGCGGAUUGUCAAUGUAAGCUGAGAAUGGAUCUUGCAUUUGUAAUACCAGUGAAACUACUAAUAUUCUAUCUACGUUGAAGAUGAACGAUAACAAUUACAUAAACAUCAAUGAUUUAUUGCAAUUUCUAUUGUAAAGAUUAUUGAUUAUACCAGUACCGCGGAUUGUCAAUGUAAGCUGGGCAUGGAUCUUGCAUUUGUAAUACCUGUGAAACUACUAAUAUUCUAUCUACGUUGAAGAUGAACGAUAACAAUUACAUAAACAUCAAUGAUUUAUUGCAAUUUCUUUUGUACAGAUUAUUGAUUAUACCAGUACCGCGGAUUGUCAAUGUAAGCUGGGCAUGGAUCUUGCAUUUGUAAUACCUGUGAAACUACUAAUAUUCUAUCUACAUUGAAGAUGAACGAUAACAAUUACAUAAACAUCAAUGAUUUAUUGCAAUUUCUUUUGUAAAGAUUAUUGAUUAUACCAGUACCGCGGAUUGUCAAUGUAAGCUGGGCAUGGAUCUUGCAUUUGUAAUACCUGUGAAACUAUUAAUAUUCUAUCUACAUUGAAGAUGAACGAUAACAAUUACAUAAACAUCAAUGAUUUAUUGCAAUUUCUUUUGUAAAGAUUAUUGAUUAUACCAGUACCGCGGAUUGUCAAUGUAAGCUGAGAAUGGAUCUUGCAUUUGUAAUACCAGUGAAACUACUAAUAUUCUAUCUACGUUGAAGAUGAACGAUAACAAUUACAUAAACAUCAAUGAUUUAUUGCAAUUUUUAUUGUAAAGAUUAUUGAUUAUACAAGUACCGCGGAUCGUCAAUGUAAGCUGGGAAUGGAUCUUGCAUUUGUAAUACCAGUGAAACUACUAAUAUUCUAUCUACGUUGAAGAUGAACGAUAACAAUUACAUAAACAUCAAUGAUUUAUUGCAAUUUCUAUUGUAAAGAUUAUUGAUUAUACCAGUACCGCGGAUUGUCAAUGUAAGCUGAGAAUGGAUCUUGCAUUUGUAAUACCAGUGAAACUACUAAUAUUCUAUCUACGUUGAAGAUGAACGAUAACAAUUACAUAAACAUCAAUGAUUUAUUGCAAUUUCUAUUGUAAAGAUUAUUGAUUAUACCAGUACCGCGGAUCGUCAAUGUAAGCUGGGAAUGGAUCUUGCAUUUGUAAUACCAGUGAAACUACUAAUAUUCUAUCUACGUUGAAGAUGAACGAUAACAGUUACAUAAACAUCAAUGAUUUAUUGCAAUUUUUAUUGUAAAGAUUAUUGAUUAUACCAGUACCGCGGAUCGUCAAUGUAAGCUGGCAAAGGAUCUUGCAUUUGUAAUACCAGUGAAACUACUAAUAUUCUAUCUACGUUGAAGAUGAACGAUAACAGUUACAUAAACAUCAAUGAUUUAUUGCAAUUUUUAUUGUAAAGAUUAUUGAUUAUACCAGUACCGCGGAUCGUCAAUGUAAGCUGGGAAUGGAUCUUGCAUUUGUAAUACCAGUGAAACUACUAAUAUUCUAUCUACGUUGAAGAUGAACGAUAACAGUUACAUAAACAUCAAUGAUUUAUUGCAAUUUUUAUUGUAAAGAUUAUUGAUUAUACCAGUACCGCGGAUCGUCAAUGUAAGCUGGCAAAGGAUCUUGCAUUUGUAAUACCAGUGAAACUACUAAUAUUCUAUCUACGUUGAAGAUGAACGAUAACAGUUACAUAAACAUCAAUGAUUUAUUGCAAUUUUUAUUGUAAAGAUUAUUGAUUAUACCAGUACCGCGGAUCGUCAAUGUAAGCUGGGAAUGGAUCUUGCAUUUGUAAUACCAGUGAAACUACUAAUAUUCUAUCUACGUUGAAGAUGAACGAUAACAGUUACAUAAACAUCAAUGAUUUAUUGCAAUUUUUAUUGUAAAGAUUAUUGAUUAUACCAGUACCGCGGAUCGUCAAUGUAAGCUGGGAAUGGAUCUUGCAUUUGUAAUACCAGUGAAACUACUAAUAUUCUAUCUACGUUGAAGAUGAACGAUAACAGUUACAUAAACAUCAAUGAUUUAUUGCAAUUUUUAUUGUAAAGAUUAUUGAUUAUACAAGUACCGCGGAUCGUCAAUGUAAGCUGGGAAUGGAUCUUGCAUUUGUAAUACCAGUGAAACUACUAAUAUUCUAUCUACGUUGAAGAUGAACGAUAACAGUUACAUAAACAUCAAUGAUUUAUUGCAAUUUCUAUUGUAAAGAUUAUUGAUUGUAAGUUCAUUUUGUCAUUACAAAUUAAAUUUUACAAAUCUAAACAAAUCUCUAUAAAACACCAUUGUCAUGUAUCGUUUC